rnacentral:rRNA from 1 species
CCUACGGGGGGCAGCAGUGAGGAAUAUUGGUCAAUGGACGAGAGUCUGAACCAGCCAAGUCGCGUGAAGGAUGACUGCCCUAUGGGUUGUAAACUUCUUUUAUAUGGGAAUAAAAUGUUCCACGUGUGGGAUUUUGUAUGUACCAUAUGAAUAAGGAUCGGCUAACUCCGUGCCAGCAGCCGCGGUAAUACGGAGGAGCCGAGCGUUAUCCGGAUUUAUUGGGUUUAAAGGGAGCGUAGGUGGAUUGUUAAGUCAGUUGUGAAAGUUUGCGGCUCAACCGUAAAAUUGCAGUUGAUACUGGCAGUCUUGAGUACAGUAGAGGUGGGCGGAAUUCGGGGUGUAGCGGUGAAAUGCUUAGAUAUCACGAAGAACUCCGAUUGCGAAGGCAGUUCACUGGACUGCAACUGACACUGAGGCUCGAAAGUGUGGGUAUCAAACAGGAUUAGAUACCCGAGUAGUC